CGCAAGGAGAGAGGGAGCGGGGGAGGAAAAGAGGCGGGAGAGAGACCCUAAAAAGCAAGCUAGACUCUCCAGCCGGCCGCUCUGGUGUGGGGAGGGAGCGUCAUCUCAAGGACACUGAAAAAGCUGUUUGCCGUUUUGCUGUUUGCCUCCUUGUCACGACCUCAGCGACGGCAGAUGGAGCCAGUGGAGGGAGAGAGACAGACGGCAAUGCUUGGGUAGCCAGGGCUCCCUGCCGGCCCCACUCCUCCUGCAGACACGAGCACGCACACACACACGCGCGCAAAACACACACGCUGCCCUUCGCCACACGUAGCCAAGUAAAAUACACAAAAAGCAACUGAGAUACCAUUCGCACAUGACCACAUGGAAACACACAAAUGAACAAACGCAUUCAGGCAUAGCCACAUGCCAGUCACACAGAUGGAUAGACAAGAGCCUGGGGUACAAAGCCACAUGGCACAAAGCCACCUGGAUGUAUAUGCCCCUACACACGCACACAGAAAAAAACAUGCAAACUUAAGUACACACCUAUCCAGACAAGUGUGAGUGCACACACACACACACUCACACACUCUACCUGACACGUUAGUGCAUCCCCAUUGGGCCCCAGUUUCUCUCAGCAAAUUCAGAUCACCCAGCCUGACUUCAAAACCUGCCCCCUUCCAUUCCCCUUCAUGCUGGUUCCUGAAUCCAGCUCGUUGCUCCAGGCUAGCAAAGCUGUCCACAGCCUCAUUUGUGGUUUGCUCACCUGCCUCAGCACCAUCAGCCAGAGGGGGCGAGGAACGCGGCUCUGCGGAGGAGCGGAAUCUUCUCAGCAGCGAUCUGCGAAGGGCUCAGCGGCCACAGGAGGGCGGCAGAGAACAGCGCUCCCUACAGAUCCAGACGUCGGCCCUGGAUGCUGUCUGGAAUCCAGGCAAGGCCAGG
rnacentral:lncRNA from 10 species